rnacentral:rRNA from 1 species
UACGGGGGGAGCAAGCGUUGUUCGGAUUUACUGGGCGUGAAGGGCGCGUAGGCGGCCACCGCAAGUCGACUGUGAAAUCUCCGGGCUUAACCCGGAACGGUCAGCCGAUACUGCGGGGCUAGAGUGCAGAAGGGGCAACUGGAAUUCUCGGUGUAGCGGUGAAAUGCGUAGAUAUCGAGAGGAACACCUGCGGCGAAGGCGGGUUGCUGGGCUGACACUGACGCUGAGGCGCGAAAGCUAGGGGAGCGAACGGG